GGCUGGUCUGAGUGCAGUGGUGUUUACAACUAAUUGAUCACAGACAGUACAGAUUCUUUUGUUCCUUCUCCACUCCCACUGCUUCACUUUAGCCCAAA
ensembl:misc_RNA Y_RNA Y RNA